ensembl:lncRNA
GCCGCGCUCUGCUCCCUCAGCCUCACGCUAUCUCCAAAUGCCGCAGCUGCUGUCAGAGUCACGUAGCAGGGAGCAGCAGCCCGUGAGCGGCUCUGAAGCCGAAAGCAGCACGCCUGUAAUAAAAGCAGGCUCCGACUUCAAACAAAUGUGUACUGCACAGCCGUUGUUAGCACUCUGAUGUGCGGCUGCGGAGCUUGGACAAUUUAUAGGCACUGCAUCAAGAGCCUUAGUCAGAUCCAGAUGUGCUGCCUUCACGCUUGCCGGUAUGGAGCAGUGGGAUGAGAUCUCGGAAGUUGAGGUCUUCAAGUGCUAAAUACAAAGCGUUGCUCCUGCGGGCUGGGCUCUGCUGAUCACAGUGUCUGGCGCACACUUCUCACAACAGGCUGGAUUUGCCAAGGAGAAUUAGGCUGGAUACAGCAAAGAGCUGUCAGCUCCUUCCUGCCAGUCUGCCCUUCAGAAGGCGGUGUGGUGGUGCCUGAGGUGCUCGCUUUGAUAGUGGUGGCUGCUGGGGGUGCUCACGGAAGGUGUGUGGUCGCUCAGCUCUCAGCUCAGCGUGGCUGCACCGCCUCCCAUUGACUUGCCUGAGCCGGGGGCUCAAUGGUUAAACGUCCCUGCUCUUGGUCUGCAAGAGCAACAACGGGUAUCUCCUGCUGGAUCCGUCUGCUCCAUCAAACCUGGCAAACAGCACAGAUUGUUUUGCCGUGAACAGAAAUCACGCCCCGGGGCUACGACUGAAAGGAGAGGUUGACAUACUUACCUAGCAAUCUUGUUAUCAUUAGCUGUGCUUUCUCCAAAACCCCAAAUCCCAAGAACAGCAGCAGCAGAAAACGUUGCAGGUUUUGUGAGCAGAUGCCUGGAGAUAACAAAUUGCUUUGCUCUUUGUUUGACUCCUUGGCACUUAGUUGUUAAUUAAAAUGAGGCCAAGUGUGCUUAGAUGGUUCAUAUGGAGGGGAAAAAAAAGCCAAGCUUGCUUGUGGAAUGAAGCAGAACUGCCUUUGUGAGAAAUGGGGGCACCAUCCCAUGCAAAGUCAGCGUUAAUCUUUCAGACUAUGAAGCAGCAGCACUAAUUCUGACCCAGCUGUUCCCCUUUUCAACAUAAUCUUUUGUGAUCGAGAGCUCUGCUGGUGUUGAAGUUGGUCCAAAGUACACCCAGGAUGCUGAGGUAGCACUGCUGUGUGCAGCACCACGUGUUUCUAUGAAUGGACUUGGAGGAUUAUUGUACAAAGAGGAGCCCAAGAAGCGUGGUUCUCCAGCUGUGAUUAUAGGCACAAGUGCUUUGCAGUGGAAGAUGUUACCUUAGGGUUGCAUAUGUGCCUUUCUUCUAGCUGGGGUGCAAAUGAUGCUGUUAGCGUUCAGUGUUUGGAUAUGACAUCUUCACCAGAAGUACACAUUGCAUUCCCCAGACUCAGUUGGAGUUAUUGCUGUACUUCAGGGAAGGCACAGUGAGGAAGAGCAGAGUGCAGAGGUGUAGCAGAUUCAUGGCCUGAAGUGGUGAUGGAGCACCUGGUGGGAGCCCAGGGGAGCUCAGGUGCAUGCAAUGUAGCUGAGUGAUGGAAGGGAUGGAGCCAGGAUCCACCCCUUCCCAGCCCUCAUUUACGGGUUGGCAGUAGAGGUGAGGGCAUUUCUUGCUGGAGAUCCUGAGGCCUCCCAAGGGUAAGCAGCUCUUUUCCUUCAUUUUUGCAUCUGUGGCUGCUGCGUUUGGGCUCAUUCUCAUUUGCUGUAGCCAAAGCCUUCACCACCCUGCUAUUAUCAUCCCAUUAUAGCAUUACACCUGCCUCACCUGGGAAAUGCAGAGACUCUGGGUAGUGGAGCUACAGAAAGUAAGGAUUGCUUUGGG